UACGUAGGGUGCAAGCGUUGUCCGGAAUUAUUGGGCGUAAAGGGCUCGUAGGCGGUUUGUCGCGUCGGGAGUGAAAACCUUGGGCUUAACUCAGGGCUUGCUUUCGAUACGGGCAGACUAGAGGUAUGCAGGGGAGAACGGAAUUCCUGGUGUAGCGGUGAAAUGCGCAGAUAUCAGGAGGAACACCGGUGGCGAAGGCGGUUCUCUGGGACGGUACUGACGCUGAGACGCGAAAGCGUGGGGAGCGAACAGG
rnacentral:rRNA from 1 species